ACGCACGCUGGCGGCUUGCUUCACACAUGCAAGUCGCACGGAAAGGCCCUGCUUUUGUGGGGUGCUCGAGUGGCGAACGGGUGAGUAACACGUGAGUAACCUGCCCUUGACUUUGGGAUAACUUCAGGAAACUGGGGCUAAUACCGGAUAGGAGCUCCUGCUGCAUGGUGGGGGUUGGAAAGUUUCGGCGGUUGGGGAUGGACCCGCGGCUUAUCAGCUUGUUGGUGGGGUAGUGGCUUACCAAGGCUUUGACGGGUAGCCGGCCUGAGAGGGUGACCGGCCACAUUGGGACUGAGAUACGGCCCAGACUCCUACGGGAGGCAGCAGUGGGGAAUAUUGCACAAUGGGCGGAAGCCUGAUGCAGCAACGCCGCGUGCGGGAUGACGGCCUUCGGGUUGUAAACCGCUUUCGCCUGUGACGAAGCGUGAGUGACGGUAAUGGGUAAAGAAGCACCGGCUAACUACGUG
rnacentral:rRNA from 1 species